GCCCGGGUGGCUCAGUCAGUUGAGCGUCUGACUUCGGCUCAGGUCAUGAUCUCGCAGUUUGUGAGUUCGAGCCCCGUGUCGGGCU
rnacentral:tRNA from 1 species